UAGGGAAUCUUCGGCAAUGGACGAAAGUCUGACCGAGCAACGCCGCGUGAGUGAAGAAGGUUUUCGGAUCGUAAAACUCUGUUGUUAGAGAAGAACAAGGACGUUAGUAACUGAACGUCCCCUGACGGUAUCUAACCAGAAAGCCACGGCUAACUACGUGCCAGCAGCCGCGGUAAUACGUAGGUGGCAAGCGUUGUCCGGAUUUAUUGGGCGUAAAGCGAGCGCAGGCGGUUUCUUAAGUCUGAUGUGAAAGCCCCCGGCUCAACCGGGGAGGGUCAUUGGGAACUGGGAGACUGGAGUGCAGAAGAGGAGAGUGGAAUUCCAUGUGUGGCGGUGAAAGGCGUAGAUAUAUGGAGGAACACCAGUGGCGAAGGCGGCUCUAUGGGCUGUAACUGACGCUGAGGCUCGAAAGCGUGGGGAGCAAACAGG
rnacentral:rRNA from 1 species